rnacentral:rRNA from 1 species
UAGGGAAUCUUCGGCAAUGGACGAAAGUCUGACCGAGCAACGCCGCGUGAGUGAAGAAGGUUUUCGGAUCGUAAAACUCUGUUGUUAGAGAAGAAGAAGGACGUUAGUAACUGAACGUCCCCUGACGGUAUCUAACCAGAAAGCCACGGCUAACUACGUGCCAGCAGCCGCGGUAAUACGUAGGUGGCAAGCGUUGUCCGGAUUUAUUGGGCGUAAAGCGAGCGCAGGCGGUUUCUUAAGUCUGAUGUGAAAGCCCCCGGCUCAACCGGGGAGGGUCAUUUGAAACUGGGAGACUUGAGUGCAGAAGAGGGGAGUGGAAUUCCAUGUGUAGCGGUGAAAUGCGUAGAUAUAUGGAGGAACACCAGUGGCGAAGGCGGCUCUCUGGUCUGUAACUGACGCUGAGGCUCGAAAGCGUGGGGAGCAAACAGG